AAAGAAAAAAGGAAAAGGAAGCUGCACUGCCGCCAUUUCACGUGAAAAGCAGCGCGGUUAGACAACCACCGAGUGGUUGUAUUUUCAUAACUUAGAUUGAUUUGGCGGAGGUUAACCUUCUUGCCAUUUUGAAGUCAAAAAUAUUUUUUAUUAGGCUAUAGAGGCCUCACAGUUUCAGUCUUAGGAGCUUCGCUUCGUUGCUUGGAAACGACCAAGAAAAAUGAGUUACGGUAGGCCGCCGCCAGACGUCGAAGGGAUGACCUCCCUCAAAGUGGACAACCUGACUUACAGAACUUCUCCCGAAACUCUCCGACGAGUUUUUGAGAAGUAUGGUCGGGUGGGGGACGUGUACAUUCCCCGGGACCGGUACACCAAAGAGAGCCGCGGUUUCGCCUUCGUGCGUUUCCUCGACAAGCGCGACGCUGAAGACGCAAUGGACGCCAUGGAUGGCGCGCUGCUCGACGGGCGCGAGCUGCGGGUUCAGAUGGCCCGCUACGGACGGCCGCCGGACUCGAUGUACAGCCGGAGAGGGGCUCCACCGCGCAGGUACGGAGGCUACGGACGAAGAAGCAGGAGUCGCUCAACUAGUCCCCGCCGUCGCAGACGAAGCCGCAGCCGCUCCAGGAGCAGAAGCCGUUCGCGAUCCAGGAGCCGUAACCGUUACAGCCGCUCCAGGUCUCGUUCCUACUCCAGGUCCAGAUCGAGGUCCAGGUCCAAGUCGAAGUCCAAAUCCAAGUCCAGAACGCCGAGGCGGAGCAAGUCGAAGUCUCCUUCCAGAUCACGGUCUCGCUCCAGAUCCAAAUCCCGUUCCAGGUCCAAGUCCAAGUCGAGGAGUCGAACCCCGGGUUCCAACAGGGGGUCAAAGUCCCGAUCCAGGUCUAAGUCCAAGAGUGGACCUAAAUCACCAGGAAACAACGAAGCAGAGCCUUAACCCAAAUGUGGACGCAAUAUGACGGUAUUCAGGGGAAGGGUUGAUUUAUUUUAUUCUUUAUCUAUUGAAAUGUUGUUUAUUUCUUAAAUUUGUGUUCUGCAGGCUUUACGCUUCACGCAAGUGGCAAAGUCUGCAGAAUGCUGUUAGAACUUUGUUAAAUGUCUAGUAUUAGCUUUGUGUGUGCUUUAUUUUGAAACUUUAUUUCCCAGCCAAUUUAAAGUACACACAGGCAGUAGGAGAUUUGGUUUAAAAAGCAUCAUGAUAAAAAUGGGGUGCUCACAUUUGUAUUGAUGUUUGGGCUGGGAGGCGGGUGGUUGGGAUGUGGGAUGCUUACUCAAACCGUUCACCUAAAUGUGGAAUUCUUUCCUCCAAGCUGCUGAGUCCUGUUUGCAAAGAGAGGAGGAGGAGAUGGGGGUGUUGCAGUGUGAGAGCAGUUAGUGUGUGACCCGCCCAUGUGACCUGCCUGUUGCUGAGAGCCAUUGCAGUUGCUAAGGAGCAGGUCACCGAGGCAACGGUGGUUGCUAUGAAGCAGGUCGUCAUGGCGGUGGUUCGGGCUGUCAAUUGGUGUAUGAGGUGGUGUGGUGAGGUACGUUCUCGCGGGGCACACAGGCAGAUGCACUGAGCAGUUUACCCACCUGUGCCUGUGGUUUCCGCCGCCUCACAUAAAGGGAGCCGACCCCGAGGUUUGUUUUUCCCAAUAUGCCCGGGUGCAAGACCCUUGUUAGAGCUAGUGUGGGAAGAAUUGGGGCCAGGAAACAUGUAAAAUAAGGAAGUGAGUUAUUGAGUAAAAUGUUUACCUAGGAUUUCUUAACUGUCAGGACAGAGAUCAUGCAAUAAAUAUUCAGAUCAGCUGCAGGAAUUGAUACCAGCGUCUAUUUUUUGCUCUUGGUGACUUAAGUUCUGUUUUUCCUUCCAGAUCUUGCAUUGAGCCUUUGAGGACAUCCGGAACAGCCUCACUUUUUGGCAAGAAUACUCCACUAUUACCACUGAAUGCAGACUGAAAGGCGCAGUUGUGUAGCAGUUGAGUAAUGCUGGUUAGCUGUUAAGAUGCGGUGCAGUGCGGUGGUGACAUGGUGUGGCGUGUUGCGGUGCUGAGUGCCCGGUGCAGUUCCGGGGCUCGACCCUUCGCUGCCGUUUGCCGGUUUGUAAGCUCACAGGUGUGGCAGAUCAUCCAUCCUCUCCUGUCUGUGACCUCUACUUCCCUACAUGUGCUGUACAUAUUGUCUUCUAUCCUCUUCACCCUUCCUUCUCUUCUGUGUCCCAAUGUCAACCUUCCUUCUGUGGUUUAUCCACUGAAUUGGUCUUGCUUGCUUUGAAAAAAUAGCCCAGUGGGACGCCAAGAGAAGGGUUAAGGGGCAGUUAAUGGCUUCUUAAGAAAUCUUUUGAAUCGCAUUCUGUGUACCUCAAAUGUCUUGUAACUGCAUCAAAUGAAUGCCAAUAAAGGUUUUUGUUGGAAUUGAA